AUUGAACGCUGGCGGCAUGCCUAACACAUGCAAGUCGAACGGCAGCGAGGUCUAGCUUGCUAGACUGUCGGCGAGUGGCGGACGGGUGAGUAAUGCGCAGGAAUAUACCUUAAAGUGGGGGACAACUUGGGGAAACUCAAGCUAAUACCGCGUAAUCUCUGAGGAGAAAAGCUGGGGACCUUCGGGCCUGGCGCUUUAAGAUUAGCCUGCGUCCGAUUAGCUAGUUGGUGAGGUAAAGGCUCACCAAGGCGACGAUCGGUAGCUGGGCUGAGAGGAUGACCAGCCAAACUGGAACUGAGACACGGUCCAGACUCCUACGGGAGGCAGCAGUGGGGAAUAUUGGACAAUGGGGGCAACCCUGAUCCAGCAAUGCCGCGUGUGUGAAGAAGGCCUGAGGGUUGUAAAGCACUUUCAGUGGGGAGGAGGAUUGUCGGGUAAAGAGCUGGACAAUUGGACGUUACCCACAGAAGAAGCACCGGCUAACUCCGUGCCAGCCGCCGCGGUAAGAC
rnacentral:rRNA from 1 species